CCGACUUUCUCCCUCUUCUUUUCGUGUGUAUUCGGGCCCUUGCCAGGCGCCUCUUCAUGUGUGGCGCUUAUGAUCAUGCGGAUGGACAGCAGCGACGGAGUGGGGCUGCGUGAUGGUGCGCGAGAGCUCGACGACGAUGAUGAGUACCGACACAUACCUACCCUCCCGUCCGCCACGCACAGAUACGCGUAGGCGUGCGAACAAACUAAGACCAAAGAACGAGGUGAGAGCGUCAAGAGAAAAGGCGGAGGCCGGAAUAGCCAAGGCCCCCUUCAUCGACGCAUAUGUUACUUUCGGUGUAAUGCGGUCCCGACAGAGCACUCCGCCGCUGCUGCAGGCCGAGCAGAUCCGCUGCAUACACACAAUCGCAUGUGCGCUCUGGGUGUUUCCAUGACCUUUGCUGUCGUUGGUCAACCACUGCGUGCCGCUCUUGCGCUGCCAUGAUACCACCUCUCUCUCCUCACUUCCUUUCUUCCAAGCUGCGUAUUACUGGCCUUUGCGUUCGUCUCUAUCAACUUCCCCCUCUCUACCCUUCCGUUGCACCGUCCGCUGCAUCGCGCCGGAGUAGCGGCUACCAGUGAGGUGGAGCACAUAGAGAGAGGCUUAUACCUCAGUGACCAUCACCCCCUGCCGGCUCCACGACAGACGCGACCGCUUCCGCCCUCGAGCAGGACGCUGGGCGCGGCUCUCUUGGAUCAAGGCAUGCGGUCCACCCAUGUGCGUGUGUCGCCGAUGGCGCGGCAUGCGUGCGAGGAAGGGACGAGCAAGGGCAGGAGGAUCCUGCUAGAUGCAUGGUCCGAUUCGACGGCAGACUGCUCGUCCUGGCCGACUCGGAUGUAGCCGCAGUGCGACAUAGGGGCGGGGUGAAAAUAGAAAAAAAAUGUUUUCGUUGCACGCCGACUGCUAGGCUUGCCGCCUCCAUCAGCUCGCUCGCGAACCGCUGAUCUCCCUUCCUCUUCUACCUUACUUUACACACCUUUCUUCUCUCUCCCUUCUCUCCUUCAG
rnacentral:misc_RNA from 1 species